GAUGAACGCUGGCGGCGUGCCUAAUACAUGCAAGUCGAGCGAACAGACGCGAAGCUUGCUUCUCUGACGUUAGCGGCGGGCGGGUGAGUAACGCGUGGGUAACCUACCUAUCAGACUGGGAUAACUUCGGGAAACCGGAGCUAAUACCGGAUAAUAUUUUGAACCGCAUGGUUCAGAAGUGAAAGAGGGUCUUGCUGUCACUGAUAGAUGGAUCCGUGCUGCAUUAGCUAGUUGGUAAGGUAACGGCUUACCAAGGCAACUAUGCGCAGCCGAACGGAGAGGGGGAUAGCCGGCAUGGGAGGGUAGACACGGACCAGAGGACUACGGGAGGCACCAGAAGGGAACGGGCGGCAACGGGCGAAAGCAUUGCGGAGCAAGGGGGCGCGAGUGAUGAAGGCCUUGGGAGCGUAAAACCGGGUUACGAGGUAUGAACAUCUUUGUACGUAACCGAGCAUAUCUUGACGGUACCUAAUGAGAAAGCCACGGCUAACUACGUG
rnacentral:rRNA from 1 species